rnacentral:rRNA from 1 species
AUUGAACGCUGGCGGCAUGCUUUACACAUGCAAGUCGAACGGUAACAGGCCUUCGGGUGCUGACGAGUGGCGAACGGGUGAGUAAUGCAUCGGAACGUACCCAGAGGUGGGGGAUAACGCAGCGAAAGCUGUGCUAAUACCGCAUGUGAUCUGAGGAUGAAAGCGGGGGACCGAGCAGCAAUGUUUGGCCUCGCGCCUUUGGAGCGGCCGAUGUCGGAUUAGCUAGUUGGUGGGGUAAAGGCCUACCAAGGCGACGAUCCGUAGCUGGUCUGAGAGGACGACCAGCCACACUGGGACUGAGACACGGCCCAGACUCCUACGGGAGGCAGCGAUGGGGAAUUUUGGACAAUGGGCGCAAGCCUGAUCCAGCAAUGCCGCGUGCGGGAAGAAGGCCUUCGGGUUGUAAACCGCUUUUGGCAGGAACGAAACGGUGUCCGCUAAUACCGGGCGCUAAUGACGGUACCUGCAGAAUAAGCACCGGCUAACUACGUG